GAUGAACGCUGGCGGCGUGCCUAAUACAUGCAAGUCGAGCGAACGGACGAGAAGCUUGCUGCUCUGACGUUAGCGGCGGACGGGUGAGUAACACGUGUAAACCCCACCUAUAAGACUGGGAUAACCUCGGGAAACCGGAGCUAAUACCGGAUAAUAUUCUGAACCGUAGGGUUGAAAAGUGAAAGACGGUCUUGCUGUCACUUAUAGAUGGAUCUGCGCUGCAUUAGCUAGUUGGUAAGGUAACGGCUUACCAAGGGAAGGAUGCGUAGCCGACCUGAGAGGGUGAUCGGCCACACGGGAGCGGAGACACGGUCCAGGCUCCUACGGGAGGCAGCAGUAGGGAAUGUUCCGCAGUAGGGGAAAGCCUGGCGGAGCAACGCCACGUGAGUGAUGAAGGUCUUCGGAUCGUAAAACUCUGUUAUUAGGGAAGAACAUAUGUGUAAGUAACUGUGCACAGCUUGACGGUAACUAAUCAGAAAGCCACGGCUAACUACGUG
rnacentral:rRNA from 1 species